rnacentral:ribozyme from 1 species
CAAAAGAAAGAAAGAAAGAAAGAAAGAAAGAAAGGAGCGAUGGGGGUCGAUGGGUUUCAGAUUUUUUUCCCUCCCUUUCUUUUCU